rnacentral:tRNA from 1 species
GCCUCCGUAGCUCAGUGGAUAGAGCAAGAGCCUUCUAAUCUCUUGGUCGUAGGUUCGAUUCCUACCGGGGGCACCG